AUUGAACGCUGGCGGCAGGCCUAACACAUGCAAGUCGAGCGGAUGAAGGGAGCUUGCUCCUGUCUUCAGCGGCGGGCGGGUGAGUAAUGCCUAGGAAUCUGCCUGGUAGUGGGGGCUAACGUCCGGACACGGGCGCUAAUACCGCAUACGUCCUGAUGGUGAAAGUGGUGGAUCUUCUGACCUCACGCUAUCAGAUGAGCCUAGGUCGGAUUAGCUAGUUGGUGGGGUAAAGGCCUACCAAGGCGACGAUCCGUAACUGGUCUGAGAGGAUGAUCAGUCACACUGGAACUGAGACACGGUCCAGACUCCUACGGGAGGCAGCAGUGGGGAAUAUUGGACAAUGGGCGAAAGCCUGAUCCAGCCAUGCCGCGUGUGUGAAGAAGGUCUUCGGAUUGUAAAGCACUUUAAGUUGGGAGGAAGGGCAGUAAGUUAAAACCUUGCUGUUUUGACGUUACCAACAGAAAAAGCAACGGCUAACUUCGUG
rnacentral:rRNA from 1 species